rnacentral:rRNA from 1 species
AUUGAACGCUGGCGGCAGGCCUAACACAUGCAAGUCGAACGAGUGGCGGACGGGUGAGUAAUGUAUGGGAAACUGCCUGAUGGAGGGGGAUAACUACUGGAAAAGGUAGCUAAUACCGCCUAACAUCAGUUGUGCCCAGGGGGGAUUAGCUGGUUGGGGGGGUAACGGCUCACCAAGGCGACGAGCCCUAGCUGGUCGGAGAGGAUGACCAGCCACACUGGAACUGAGACACGGUCCAGACUCCUACGGGAGGCAGCAGUGGGGAAUAUUGCACAAUGGGCGCAAGCCUGAUGCAGCCAUGCCGCGUGUAUGAAGAAGGCCUUCGGGUUGUAAAGUACUUUCAGCGGGGAGGCGUUACCCGCAGAAGAAGCACCGGCUAACUCCGUGCCAGCAGCCGCGGUAAUAC